rnacentral:rRNA from 1 species
UGGGGAAUUUUGGACAAUGGGCGAAAGCCUGAUCCAGCAAUGCCGCGUGUGUGAAGAAGGCCUUCGGGUUGUAAAGCACUUUUGUCCGUAAAGAAAUCCUUGGCUCUAAUACAGUCGGGGAAUGACGGUACCGGAAGAAUAAGCACCGGCUAACUACGUGCCAGCAGCCGCGGUAAUACGUAGGGUGCAAGCGUUAAUCGGAAUUACUGGGCGUAAAGCGUGCGCAGGCGGUUUGCUAAGACCGAUGUGAAAUCCCCGGGCUCAACCUGGGAACUGCAUUGGUGACUGGCAGGCUAGAGUAUGGCAGAGGGGGGUAGAAUUCCACGUGUAGCAGUGAAAUGCGUAGAGAUGUGGAGGAAUACCGAUGGCGAAGGCAGCCCCCUGGGCCAAUACUGACGCUCAUGCACGAAAGCGUGGGGAGCAAAACAGGAUUAGAUACCCUGGUAGUCCACGCCCUAAACGAUGUCAACUAGUUGUUGGGGAUUCAUUUCCUUAGUAACGUAGCUAACGCGUGAAGUUGACCGCCUGGGGAGUACGGUCGCAAGAUUAAAACUCAAAUGAAUUGAC